GGUCCUAUGGCCCAGUGGUUACGACUUUGGACUUUGAAUCCAAAUACCCGAGUUCAAAUCUCGGUGGGACCU